rnacentral:rRNA from 1 species
UUAGUGGCGGACGGGUGAGUAACGCGUGGGUAACCUGCCUUACACAGGGGAUAACACUUAGAAAUAGGUGCUAAAACCGCAUAAGCGCACAGCUUCGCAUGAAGCGGUGUGAAAAACUCCGGUGGUGUAAGAUGGACCCGCGUCUGAUUAGCUUGUUGGCGGGGUAACGGCCCACCAAGGCGACGAUCAGUAGCCGGCCUGAGAGGGCGGACGGCCANAUUGGGACUGAGACACGGCCCAGACUCCUACGGGAGGCAGCAG